rnacentral:ncRNA from 1 species
CUUGCGGGACGACCCGCAAGCGCAUCUUACAGCGGGGACGGCCCC